GCCAGCAUGGCAUAGUGGUUUACGUUUUGGAUUAGAACUCUAGAGUUCAGGGUUCAAUUCCCCGCUCAGCCA